rnacentral:misc_RNA from 1 species
GCCCAUGGAAGACUCUGCCAUUGAGUCACGUGACGUGUAAUGCCGCGCGUGCACGAGGAUCAGUUUACAGCAUUUGGUGGGGGUAAGAAGAGCUCAUCUUGUAGAGGAGAGCUGCGUUCAGUAUCGCAUCCAUGUCAGUGUUAUUCUCCGCUGCUUUAUGAGUCGCCAUUGCCAACAAGACAGAUACUGCAACUGAGGCGUGUGGGAACGACAUAGUGGCGCGCUGACCUAGUUGGGAGAGCGGGAACCAGUGCAUAGCCCUGUGAAUGCACACUUCUCUGGCGGAUAUACUGUAGGAAGCUCUCUCUUGGCGUUCCCCGAUAACAACUUCACGGCGCUCGAUUAAGAGCCAAUAGUACGCGGCGGGAUUUCGAGUAGUGUGUGCAAUUGUCUCAAAUACCAUAGUGUACGGCGCGUUAGCGGGAAGCCCCCAAGGUUGAUAUUAGUGGCAUCGCUCGGUUACUGAGCUGGCAGUUACAAGGAUUCCGUGAAGCCUAUGACAUCAACUUAGAACGGCGACGUAACCCGUCAGUCUGAGGCACGUUUGCUGUGCGGUGGGCGUUUAGCUGCACCAAAACCUGGAUUUAUCUACAAGCUGCUAGUGUCUGCUUCCUGCACCAUUCAUCUUGGUGCAGAGUUGUGAGGACCUUCACGUUUGCCAGUAUUCCGUGACGUGUUGUCAUCAGUCGGACCCUUUGCACGCGGGAUACUUGGGAUUACGUGCCCAUCACCUACCACUGUGUUCAGAACCACACGCUUCUUGGUUGACAUCAGCACCCGGAUAUAACUACCCGUAGCCAUGAUGACCACGUGUUGCGCCAUUUUGGGACUGGUUUUACUUGUGGUAACAAACCUUUGUAUAAUAAUUUCUUUUGCGACGCCAUACUGGCUCGAAAUUAAGGAAGACGAUCUCGUCUACCAACAACCCGCCCACCGAGGGCUAUGGGCCUACUGUGACUACAGAGAGUGUAUGUGGAUCUUCCAGAGGAAUUACGACCGUACAAGCGACGCAAUUUGGUGGAAAGCAACUCAGGCGCUGAUGUCGUGUGGUCUGGCGUUGGGAUUGCUGUCACUGAUGUUGGCGACAAUGGCACUGUGCUGUGGAUGUAAAGGUUGCAAUGCCAGUCUUGCAGUUUCCAUACUUCUAGUCCUCGCUGCUCUGUCGAUGGGAGGCGGUGUGGUCACAUUCGGCAUCAACGCCCACUCGGAUCAAAACUUUAAAGCUGUUGUCAGUUGGGACGAACACGAUAACGUGAAAAAAAUAUUUAGUUGGUCCUUCUGGCUCGGCAUCGCAGCCCCUGUAUGGGCGAUCUUAACCUCAAUCGUGUAUUACAUUGAAGGGAGGAAAAGCCGUUUGUAAAUGCCCUAUAUUGAUGCUAUAAUCACCUGGGACACACGAUGGACACGUCUUUGAUUGAUGAGGGUCAGUGGCCGUCACGUGACUCUCCCUACUGUCAGUUUAACCGACCUUGACAUGAAGACAAGGCUGGCAUUUCCUACAUCCGGGCCUGUAAACAACGUGCACCUUAUCGAGGAUAUCCGAAAUCAAAAUGUGGUCCUGACACCUAGCUGCCUCAUUCCGCAACGAAACAAAUGUAAACGAUCGUCACAACGGAUUUGUGUCAAUUUAUUUCGAUGUGGAGUCGGGCACAGAUCUUGCAUUUCUAUGUGGCUGGAUGGACCAGUACUUCCGGUUAAUGUCACCGCUAGAGGGCGCUGGUUUUUUGCUCUAGGUGUCGCUUUACUUCCUCUCUCUCAAUGGCAGCUGCUUGAAAUAUGAACAAAACGGCCACACUGGUUGACGUGAACACACAAACUUCCUUGUAGUUAUAGAUCUUUAUGAACGUGUAACAGAGGGAAAGACAACAUAUGUUUUGGAUUCCGUCAGCCAGUGGUCUUUACUGGCUGCGUUAUUGUGUUCACGUGUUCUGUUAGUGUGCUGAUACUGCCAUAACAUUUCUGGUUUUGCAAGUUGACGCAUUCUUUGAGAACAUUUCAUUUAGGAAAGGCCUGUUUAGCUGGUUACUUUUUAAAUAGUCAAGCUCAAACAGGGUUGGAUACAUAUAUCCAUGACAGAAGCUAGUUUAUAUACGUAUUGACCACACAUACGUACAUACAUACGUAACAGUGCUUUAGAAUGAGCAUCACUUACCAAUAGGUUUAUAACUUUGCGUAAUCUUAGAAGGGUCUCGUUUAUGAUUUUAAUCUUAUGCCUCGCAAAAGGUAUGGUAGUCGUUCAAUUAAUUUUUUUUUAAACAAUUUAGGCUGGGCUUCUAUAUGCAGAAAUGAGCCCCUUUAAAAUUGUGAAGGUUGGUCUGUUAAGUGACUAAUCGUUUUGUUAUGUCUGUGCGUGUUUCUAAAUUGUCUUUUACUGUUUGCUCAAAUCAUGUAAAUCCAGCUGCCAUUUUGUGGAUACGGUGCUACUAUUCACGUUUGACUUCCAAUACACUAGUAGUAUUACAGCGUGUAUAGGGUGCGUUCGAGCGAAGUAGUAAAAUAUUGACAAGAACAAAUGUUCAUCAAAACUGAUUACCAAAUUGUAAUCGCUUUUAGGGUUUAGGACAUUUCGACGUCACGGAUAUUUAAGACUAGGUCCCUCAACUUGUGUUCUCAUCUCCAUGAUGGAAGAUUAUGAUAUCAAUGAACAUGAACAAUCAUUUCUGACCAAAUCGCCGAAACGCAGCCACUACACGUGUAGCUCACCUUCCAUGACCUACCAGUAUCACUGAAUGUUUCCCUGUAGCUAGUGUAGAAAGUUGACACGGCCACUGAAUGGCUCGACUAACAUCAUAACAAGCAAUGCUUCUUCCACAUAACAAGCAAUGCUUCUUCCAUCGAUAUUGUGCGGGUCUGUCAAUAUUUUUCAACCUUGAGUACCUAAUACUUUGUACGUGAGUAGGGUGUCUUUGAAUUUACACCACCGGAAAAUCAUGUUUUGUACCUGCAUUAUACUACAUUGCGUCAUGUACCUGCUCAGAUAAAACCCAGGACCAGUUGAUUUUCAUUGUAAAUGUCCCGUUGAUCUCUCAUCUCAAACGGCCUUGACCUUGACUCAGCUGAAAACGCAUUGAUGCACGUUGGUGUCAUUGAUAUAACUGGCACAAUGAGAUAAUAAUUUGAUUUGUAUUUUGGAUUAUGUGCAAAUGGAACAUCUAUGCAUGUGUUCACAUGAAACGUUUGUGUUACGUUUACUUACAAUAACAAAGCUAAAUCCUUUCAGCCAAUUGCCCAUGGGGUAGCUCAGUUGUUGAAACGUUGGCUGGACUCGCCAAAUCCCAAGGAUCGAUACCCAAAUGGGUACAGCGUUAGAAGUCCAUGGUGACCGCGCCCUGACACGGAUGUAAUUCUGCUAAAAGCGGCGUAAAACACAACUCACUUUUCAGCAUUUAUGAUUUUCAGUAAUAUACUAUUAAAAAUAAGUUAAGGACUAUCCGAUUUAUUUCAUAUUACUAACGUUUGUAUGUCUUGCCAUAACAGAUUAACUAUAGUUAUAUGAUAAAAUCGGGUGUUAUUAACUUGUCUUGAGUAGUAUAUAUGCAUAUUAGGUAUGAACGUUUUCGAAAAUGGCAUACCAUGUUUAUUGGUUUAAUGCCCAAGCUCUGUCUGCGUUAUUUCUGAAUCAGUUCCAUUUUCACCUGCCAACAGUGACGAUCGUUUGUAAUAACAAAGCAUCAAUACUGAGCCUCAAACCAUGUGGUCCUUAUUUUUAAAUCAAGGAUUAUAUCCCGUGUUUUUGCAUAUUAAUAUUAUGGUUAUGCCACACAUUGAUUUGUUUAUAAUUUGAUUAUUCAAGAUACGUUAUGAAUCCUUUUGUUCUUAUUAUGAUUUUGUCUGUGUUGUAUUUUCACAGGUGCUCCUGGAACAAGUAUUGCAUGACCAAAAAUACUUUGCUUAGAUAAUUCCAGACUUCUUUUUAAAACUUGGAACAUUUCAGUUAUUUCCAUAUGUUACAUUGAUUAUUUUCAUAUACAUUUUGUUGUGACCGAUAUUUACCUGUUCAACACCACGUGACUGCGAAACCAAGAACAGUGACAUACUCAUUUCUACUACUGCAAUCAGAUCUUGUAUAGGGUUUCCACGUGUUGGGUAUUCUGUUUGUAGAUCAUCUCUUUGUAGAAACGUUUUUGAUAAUAAAAAACAUAACUCCAAA